GCCAGAAAUGGUCAACUCUUUGGACACUCGUAAACAGGUGGUGCAUGGUUGUCGUCAGCUCGAGUCGUGAGAUGUUGGGUUAAGUCCCGCAACGAGCGCAACCCUCGUUCUAUGUUGCCAGCACGUAAUGGUGGGAACUCAUGGGAUACUGCCGGGGUCAACUCGGAGGAAGGUGGGGAUGACGUCAAAUCAUCAUGCCCCUUAUGUCUUGGGCUUCACGCAUGCUACAAUGGCCGGUACAAAGGGCUGCAAUACCGUAAGGUGGAGCGAAUCCCAAAAAGCCGGUCCCAGUUCGGAUUGAGGUCUGCAACUCGACCUCAUGAAGUCGGAGUCGCUAGUAAUCGCAGAUCAGCAACGCUGCGGUGAAUACGUUCCCGGGUCUUGUACACACCGCCCGUCAAGUCAUGAAAGUCGGUAACACCUGAAGCCGGUGGCCCAA
rnacentral:rRNA from 1 species